UGUUGUUGUUGUUGUUGUUGUUGAUGAUGAUGAUGAUGAUGAUCAUCAUCAUCAUCAUCAUCAUCAUCAUCAUCAUGG
rnacentral:pre_miRNA from 1 species